rnacentral:rRNA from 1 species
UACGGAGGGGGCUAGCGUUGUUCGGAAUUACUGGGCGUAAAGCGCACGUAGGCGGAUCAGUAAGUUAGGGGUGAAAGCCCUGGGCUCAACCUAGGAAGUGCACUCGAAACUGCUUCGCUUGAGUAUCGGAGAGGAAAGCGGAAUUCUCGGUGUAGAGGUGAAAUUCGUAGAUAUCGAGAGGAACACCAGUGGCGAAGGCGGCUUUCUGGACGAUUACUGACGCUGAGACGCGAAAGCGUGGGGAGCAAACAGG